UUCCUACGGGGCGCAGCAGUGGGGGAUAUUGCACAAUGGGGGGAACCCUGAUGCAGCGACGCCGCGUGGGUGAAGGAGCGUUUCGGCGCGUAAAGCCCUAUCGGCAGGGAAGAAAAUGACGGUACCUGAGUAAGAAGCCCCGGCUAACUACGUGCCAGCAGCCGCGGUAAUACGUAGGGGGCAAGCGUUAUCCGGAUUUACUGGGUGUAAAGGGAGCGUAGACGGCCAGACAAGUCUGAAGUGAAAAUCCAGCGCUUAACGUUGGAAGUGCUUUGGAAACUGCCGGGCUAGAGGGGAGGAGGGGG
rnacentral:rRNA from 1 species